AACAGAUACAGCCCAGAUAUGUUCCACUCCUACCCAAUGAAUAUGGUUUCAUGGUAGAUGCACAUUAGGAUGUUUAACAUAUACAGCCUAAAUAUGUUACACUCCUAGACAAUGAAGAUGGUUUCAUGGUAGAUUGAUCACACAUCUGGAUACGUAGCAUAUACAGACUAGAUAUGUUACCCUCCUAGACAAUGAAGAUGCUUUCAUGGUAUACAGCACACGAAGAUUUGUAUCAUAUAACGCCUAAAUAUGUUACACUCUUCGACAAUGAAAAUGGUUUCAUUGUAGAUAGCACAUUAGGAUUAGUCACAUAUACAGCCUAAAUAUGUAAGACUCCUAUACCAUGAAAGAUGCUUCCAUUGCAGAUGCACAUUAGGAUAAGUCACAUAUUAUACAGCCUUAAUAUGUAACACUCCUAUACCAUGAAAGAUGCUUUCACACAUUAGGAUGUUGCACAUAUACAUCUAAAUAUGUUGCACUCCUAGACAGAGAAGAUGGAUUCAUGGCAGAUAGGAAGACUCAACAUAUACAGCCCAGAUAUGUUCCACUCCUACCCAAUGAAUAUGGUUUCAUGGUAGAUGCACAUUAGGAUGUUUAACAUAUACAGCCUAAAUAUGUUACACUCCUAGACAAUGAAGAUGGUUUCAUGGUAGAUUGAUCACACAUCUGGAUACGUAGCAUAUACAGACUAGAUAUGUUACCCUCCUAGACAAUGAAGAUGCUUUCAUGGUAUACAGCACACGAAGAUUUGUAUCAUAUAACGCCUAAAUAUGUUACACUCUUCGACAAUGAAAAUGGUUUCAUUGUAGAUAGCACAUUAGGAUUAGUCACAUAUACAGCCUAAAUAUGUAAGACUCCUAUACCAUGAAAGAUGCUUCCAUUGCAGAUGCACAUUAGGAUAAGUCACAUAUUAUACAGCCUUAAUAUGUAACACUCCUAUACCAUGAAUGAUGCUUUCACACAUUAGGAUGUUGCACAUAUACAUCAAAAUAUGUUGCACUCCUAGACAGAGAAGAUGGAUUCAUGGCAGAUAGGAAGAGUCAACAUAUACAGCCCAGAUAUGUUCCACUCCUACCCAAUGAAUAUGGUUUCAUGGUAGAUGCACAUUAGGAUGUUUAACAUAUACAGCCUAAAUAUGUUACACUCCUAGACAAUGAAGAUGGUUUCAUGGUAGAUUGAUCACACAUCUGGAUACGUAGCAUAUACAGACUAGAUAUGUUACCCUCCUAGACAAUGAUGAUGCUUUCAUGGUAUACAGCACACGAAGAUUUGUAUCAUAUAACGCCUAAAUAUGUUACACUCUUCGACAAUGAAAAUGGUUUCAUUGUAGAUAGCACAUUAGGAUUAGUCACAUAUUCUGUCUGAAUAUGUAAGACUCCUAUACCAUGAAAGAUGCUUCCAUUGCAGAUAGCACAUUAGGAUUAGUCACAUAUACAGCCUAAAUAUGUAAGACUCCUAUACCAUGAAAGAUGCUUCCAUUGCAGAUGCACAUUAGGAUAAGUCACAUAUGCAACUUAUAUGAUGUUUCAGUAGUAGAAGGUGCAGCAUGGCAGCAGAAGAUGUUAAAUUGAGAAUGGUGAAGAGACAGUUUAAUUCAGAGAAUUUGCCAAGUGCCCUCAAUAUGUCUACAAUGAUAUAACAAUCAUAAUUAAGCCAAAAGAUCAAUUGUUGGUUGUAAUUAAUGCCAGCUCUAAAUAAGAUCUUAAAAUAGAAACUAUCUUCAAAUUUGACAAGUUACCAUAUCUACAUAUGAAUAAAUUAGAAUAGUCUGUAAAUAUUCUGUAUUUUCCUUUUUGCAUCAUCUUUUGAGUAACCAAAUCAGAACACCCAAUUUGGUGAAAUACUUUUUCCUGUUAUAUCUGUCAUUGCUUUUGUAAGAUAAAAACAAAAAUGUAUAUGCAGUUUUGUUAAAUAUAUUUAAAUUCAAAAUUAAAAAAAAAAAUCAAUUUCAAAUUAACACAAACAAAAUUGACUUUAACUUUAGUUCAUGCACCCUUUAAUGUAUAUCUUAAAAGAUUUGUUGUGGACUAAGCAAAUAUCAAAUUAUCAUUUCAGAAGUACAUUUUGCUUGCAUGGUAUCAUCUUCACUAACAUUUAACAUAGUGGGUUUCGGAGUUACUGAGGUAGUUCUUAUUGAGAUGUUUCUUGUUUUUUCUAUGGAGGAAUCAGUGGUUUCUAUGUCUUCAGGAUAUGGUUUUGUCAUUCAAAGGGAACUGUCAAUGUAAUUCUGAAAUGAUAUACAUUUGGUAUUUUUAUUGUCAUUGAAAAAGAAACAAUAUUAGUGCAUGAACAUUUGAACUGUGAAUAUAUAAUAUUUAAACUUUAUAAUUUAUAAUUUUUAAAUCGAUUUUGGAAAGUUAUUGUAUCAAAAUUAAAUUGUAUUUGACACAGUUUGAUGGAUGAAAAUUAGAAAAACUUAAUUUAUGUUCUAAAUUUAAGCACAAGUGAAACAAAAUUCCAAAUAUAAAUUUCUGCUUCAUUAAAACAUUUGGUUAAAUGGAUCUGCAAAAUCACUGAUAGCUAACACGGUUAAUCCAUUUAAUUAGGUAGUGUCGUUAAGUAUAGUCUAAUGGAUCCUGUUGAUAUCCUAUUAUAAGUAUUGAUGUAUUAUAAAUCAUAUUCCUAAAUCUAACAAGUCAGAUGGGACUGCCCUUGCAUCAGUGUCUUACAAAUUGUACUGUAAUAUACUGAACUAUAGAUUAGCUCAGUGGGUAGAUGAUAACAAUGUACUGGUUGAGGAACAGAUUGGUUUACCGCAACUUUGUAGUACAAUAGACCAAUUAUCUACUCUUACUAAUUUGAUAGAUGUGAGAAAAACACUUCCUAAAUCAAUCUUUUGUGCCUUUAUUGAUUUUAAAAAGGCUUACGACACUACAAAGAGUUAUUUUAUGGUAUAAACUAAAUAAAAUUGGUGUUGCACAGACUUUUGUUCUGCUAUUAAGUCAAUUUAUACAAAUGUUCUGUAAGAAUAAACAGUCAUUUCACAGACUGGUUUGAUGUAAACACUGGCUUGAAACAAGGAUGUCCCUUGUCGCUCAUUUUGUUCAUCUUGUAUAUUAAUGAUUACCAUUUCUUAAGUCCUUUGACUGCGGAAUAGAAAUUGGUGAUGAAAAACUGUAUUUUAUUAUAUGCUGAUGAUGAUGUUAUUAUAGCAAACGAUGAAAAAGAGCUACAACUUUUGGUAAAUGCUUUUUCUACAUGAUUUGAAGACAAUUGUAUGACAAUUGAUACAAACAAGAGUAACAUUGUACAAUUUAGACCACCAUCUAUACCUAGAUAUGAUGUAAUUUUUAAUUGUAAUGGUCAUACUAUAAAGUCUUCUUGUAAUGAUACUUGGUCUCGUUUUAAACAAGCAUUUAGACUAAUAUCACUGCAAAAGCCGUUGCAUCUUCAGCGAAUAGAGCUUUAGGGAUGGUAAUAGCCAAGUGUAAACUUUUAGGGGGUGUUUGUUUCGAUGUAUUUGUAAAAUUAUAUGAAAGUUUGGUUUGUCCUAUAAUAGAAUAUAAAAAGGUAUAUGGGGUGUAAAAAGAUAUUCUUGUAUAAAUUCCAUACAUAAUGGGGCCUAUAGAUUUUCUAGAAGUAGAAAAAUAUGCACCAAAUGCUGCAGUUACCGGAGACUUGGGUAUUAUUGUAUUAUACGUUGAUAAUUUUAUUUUAUAUUGCAUUUUGAUUUGUCAAUACACACAUGUUUUAUGGUGUAGGUCAGAGCACCUGACCCUGGAGACGGGAUUGCGCACUUGGCAUCCACUGACACAGGUUUCUAGAGCUUUUUGAUCGAUUAUAUCGUUUUUUAUCUCUAGUUGUUCCUGGCCGGCCUUGACUGUCUAUGAAGGGGUGCAUUUAGUCAAAAGUUGGUUUUGGUGUAUUUAGGAAAAUCAUGGAAGUAUUAUAUUUUACUUCCAUGGGAUAAUAUAUACAUAGGAAUUCUAUGAUUUUGAAUUAUAUAUGCAUUGCAAUAAUGAUUUAUUGAAUUUGUGAAUAUUUAUAAUACAAUCUGGCGUCCAUCGAGCAUGACGGGCUGUCCGCAAACUAAGAUUAUGUUUGCAUUGUUUAUAUUUGGCACAAGUAUGUAGUUAAUACCACCUAUUUUUGAUAAGCAGUGGAAAAGUAUUAUUCGUUUGUGGUGUAGAUUAAAUCAUAUGAGCUAAGGUCGGAUAAAUUCAAAAGUUCAUUAGUGGGCUGAUAGAAUGAGUAUUAAGCAUAAGUUUGCUGAAAACUGGAACUUUUUAGUAAGGAAAACCUUCUCUGAACUGAAUUCAAGUCAUUUAUCGUGUCCUGAAAAUAUGGACACUAAUUAUGUUGUUAAACUUUUAAUGUCAAAAUGAAUUUCAGUCACAGAAGUGCUUUUCUCAAAUUUAGAUGUGGUGUUGCUCCACUAAGGAUUUAAACUGGGAAAUAUGAAAAUAUUGUUUUAGCUUGUGCCAUAUAUGUUAUAGUUUUAUUGAAGACGAAGCACAUGUUUUAUUAAGAUGUACUCUUUAUGGAGAUUUUAGAAACCAUUUAUAUUAUGUUGCUGAAAAUUUUAAUACUUUUGGUUAUCAUCUUAAGUUUGUGUUUUUAUUCUCAGAUGUGUUAUUCUCAGAUGUAAAUAUGAUACAUGUGUUCCAAAACCUGUUAUUUGAUUUUAAAAAGGCGUUGAAAUUUUAUAUAUGGAAAAUACAUGUAGUACUUUAUUUCAUAUUGUUUAAUGUAUUAUAUCUAUGCAUUUUAAUAGUCUUUAUAAUUCUGUAUAGAAUGGCUCAUUUUAUUUAGUGUUGUUUUACAAUGUAUAAAUAUCGAUUGUAAUUGUUGAGAGAUGACACAUGCAUAAAACAUUGAAUUAAUUGAACUGAGUUUGUUAGUAUUACAAUCAAUAUUUGUGUAUGCCUCGCACAAAAAGGUGCAAGCAGGGCCGUACUGGACAUCUUCAGUUAUCAAGUUUGUUUUUUUAUAACAAACACACUGAGAUCUGGUAUCCAGGAAAUUAAAAUGAAUCAACAAUACUUUCAUGUAUUUUGUACAAUAAUAUUUUUUCUAAUUACACCUUACUCAUGAUGCAGAUAUGUCUUCAUCUAAUACUAUGAUGAUGUACUACAGUGGCAUAAAAGUAGUUACGAUAGGUUUAGGAAGUGUCAUUUUGGUAUUUAUCAUGAUGCAUUAGAAUUAAAUUUCCCCAUGUUUCAAGGAAUAACAUUGAAAAAUAAUUUAUAAGCCAACACUUCUGGCCAGCAGUCUGUUUUUGAAUAAUAAGGAUUUCUUUAAAACUGUUCAAGUAUACCUCCUUUGACAAUCUUCCUAGCAUUGGGUUAUGGAAUUUUUCAAUUUUUUACCCACUACAUUUUCAGUUUUUAGUUGGUUGUUCCAUGUCGGCGGGGUCGUCGAUGAUAGAAUUUUUGCCAUUAUUUGAUAUUUCACAUAAAAUACAAUGUAAGAGCAUUUCAUCAAUUAUAAUUGCUACGAUUUUCUUUAUGUAUUUAUGCUUAUCCUUGUAUGCAUGUUUAUUGUUUUAAUGAAGAUAAAAUCCGAUGUCCAAGUUAUCGGCAAUAUGAA